rnacentral:rRNA from 1 species
CCCUUAGAUGUUCUGGGCCGCACGCGCGCUACACUGAUGCAUUCAACGAGUCUAAAACCUGCUCUGAUAGGGGUGGGUAAUCUUUUGAAUGUGCAUCGUGAUUGGGAUAGAUGAUUGCAAUUUUUCAUCCUCAACGAGGAAUGCCUAGUAAACGCAAGUCAUCAGCUUGCAUUGAUUACGUCCCUGCCCUUUGUACACACCGCCCGUCGCUCCUACCGAUUGAAUGAUCCGAUGAAUAUCAUGGAUUGAGGAUGCAAGUAGGUUAGCCUAUCUUCAUCUUCGAGAAGUGAAGUAAAUCUUAUCAUUUAGAGGAAGGAGAAGUCGUAACA